UACGUAGGUGGCAAGCGUUGUCCGGAAUUACUGGGCGUAAAGGGCGCGUAGGCGGCGCGGUAAGUCACUUGUGAAAUCUCUGAGCUUAACUCAGAACGGCCAAGUGAUACUGCAGUGCUAGAGUGCAGAAAGGGCAAUCGGAAUUCUUGGUGUAGCGGUGAAAUGCGUAGAUAUCUGGAGGAAUACCGGUGGCGAAGGCGGCAUCCUGGACCAUUACUGACGCUGAGGCGCGAAAGCUAGGGGAGCAAACGGG
rnacentral:rRNA from 1 species